GAGGAGUACUCUAAUUGGUUUAACAGUUGGUAGGCAAUGAAGCAAACUAAUUUAGAAAAAUAACUCAAACUUUUAUAUAGUUUAGGAUUUAAAAUUUUAAAUUUUGAAGUUGAAAAUUUAAAAAUAAAUUAAAAUUUCAAUAUACAAAAUUUGAAAAUUUAUAAUAUAAAAUAUUAAAACCCUAUAUAUAUAUAUAUUAUAUAUGUAGGGAGAGAGAGGAGAGGAGGGUUUUAGAGAACAGAUGUACCCUCCCAAACCCUUCUUUAAUAUGGAAGAAAGAAUAUUCCAAAUGCAUCCAAGAUAUUUUUAUAGACCAUUCAUAUGUCUAUAAUCAAUGGUCUACGGUGCACCGGAUGUACCGAAUAGUAAAACCGGAUAUAUGUCAAUAAAAGAAAACUAUCCCACUCACUUUAGUAUAAAGCAAUAGAUGUAUAAGUAACAAUAGCUAUCUAUAGAAUAGCUAAUACAUGACAAAAGUACAAGGGCAUUAACUAACAGGAUAAAGAUUACAAUAUCUAACUUUGAGAAAGAUUAAUUCCCCAAAUUUAUUACCACCAACGUAAUUUAAAAAAAUGACCAAAAAAAAUUGAUGAAAUUAAAAAUUAUUAUAUAGGCACUUCGAUUCUUCAAGAAAUCAGAAGUGCUAGUUAAAGAGCAGAAACCAUUAUUUCGUGAAGAGUGCGAAUGUUGAACUUGACGAUCAGUACUGUUCACAUAGCAAAGCUGAUCACAUUCAAUGUAUCUGAUUCGCAGUCGCUGAGACGAUUAGUGCUCGAUUAAUAUAUACCAAGGCCCAAGUACUGCUUAUUAUCCUCUCUAAUUCCUCUUUCCUUUAGCUGCUUCCAAGAUUCUCUCAAAUGAUUCCUUCAUGUAAGAAUUGAGAAGCUGGGAAUUUAUGAAGCCUUUCUCAACUCCCAAGGCAACCUUCAGCUUCCCCAUGUAGCUCACCACAGUUAUUGUUAGGCUCUGCAACAGAGUUAAUGUAUACAUAUAAGCAAGCCAUAUAUAUAUACUAAUCAGCAGAUCUAGCAGAUAAAUUACAGAUUUGGGUAAAUUCAAGUGUCUAAGAUCACCAAAAAAAAAAAAAAAAAAAAAAGAGUGUAAAUUUUCGACCCAAUGAUAUUAACAGAAUGUUUUUAUGUACUAAUUAAGUGCGGAUCCGAUUUAUCGAUGUCGGUUAAAUCCAACUAGCGAAUUAACAUCUUCUUUGGUAAUAGUACCACCCAAAUUUCCACUCAUUUAUUACAAAUCGCCAUCUCUGCUAAUAUAAAAUACUGAAAUAGUACUGUUCUCAGNN
rnacentral:lncRNA from 1 species